rnacentral:rRNA from 1 species
UACGUAGGGGGCGAGCGUUGUCCGGAUUUAUUGGGCGUAAAGAGCUCGUAGGCGGUUUGGUAAGUUGGAUGUGAAAUCUCCAGGCUCAACUUGGAGGGGUCAUUCGAUACUGCCAUGACUAGAGUUCGGUAGGGGAGUGUGGAAUUCCUGGUGUAGCGGUGAAAUGCGCAGAUAUCAGGAGGAACACCGGUGGCGAAGGCGGGUCUCUGGGCCGGAACUGACGCUGAGGAGCGAAAGCGUGGGGAGCGAACAGG